AUCUCCAAGAUCUGGCCUGUCCGAGUUGGAGGAACGCGCUGGGUUAGCCAUACCCACACAGCACUGCAAAACAUGUUGCGUGGUUACCGUGCAAUUGUUCUUCAUCUCAGUCAAGUUGCCACCACCAGGACAGCUAGUGGUAUGCAAGCAAAGGCAAAAGGUCUCCUGAAAACGCUGCGCUCCAAAGAUGCCAUGACUUUUGCCCACUUCCUAAGUGACAUUAUGGCCGUUCUCUCCAAACUGUCGAAGACGCUGCAGCAGAGAGAAGUUUGUACCUAUCAUGUACAUGAAGCACUGAAGGCCACAAUGACCAGCAUCAACAAAUUCAAGGACCGGGCAGGACCUGAGCAGCGGAAACUCCAGC